UAUAUAACUAUUAACUACCAAUACCAAUACCAAGUACACAAAAUAAUUUUGUUGGCCUCAUUCAUUCACCAUUGUUGUUUGUUGGUAGCAUAAUCACUGGAUAUCACUCCCGAAAUGAAUCCCAUAUCUCGCAUGCAAUACUAGCUCUGAUGACUUAUACUAUAUAUUGAGAUGGAUUCCCUGCCAUGAAUCUUCAAACUAAUGGUGUUGAGAUGAUCUUGGAGCUAGUUAAUUAAUGGGGUACAUUUCGGGAGUGAGAACCAGUGAUUAAGCCAGUACUACACUGCAUAAUGCUGCUGAUGAAACUUCUUGAAUAUUUAUGGGGACUAAAACCAGAAUUCGCUAAUAUUAUAGGGACAAGGAAAGAGGAAAAAGGAGGGUAUGCGGCAGUAUCGAGAAAAGGGUUGUGGGACUCUGUGAUAGUUGAUCUGGGUUUGGACCUUAAUGUUUUGGCUUCAGUGAAAUUAGUUUAUGAAAAAUAUCUGAGUGAUUUCGAAGGUUGGCUCAGCAAAACUUCCGAAGAAAAGAGUUUCAAAAAUUGGAAUGGUACAACUUGCUGAUAUGUUGGCCCAAAUAAAUGAGAUUGAAAAGAAGGUUGAAGGUACGAUGAGAAAAGGGUUGUGGGACUCUGUGAUAGUAUGAUUUUUUUAAGCAAAAGAAUCGAGUAAAAGGAAGGCUGAUAUGUAUGUCUGGACACACACUAGCUCAUAUGAUUUUUUUUUUAAGCAAAAUAAUAGAGUACA